GGUGACAGUUCUUACACGCUGUUUCAGAAAGGCUUUCUUCCCUUUCGUCCACUACGCUGAUAGCUGAUGUGAAUCCAGGGCCCUUUUGAAGCACACAGUCCAUUUACAUUGAGAAAAAGCAGGCUGAGGUGGCCGAGGACCGUUACUAUGGUUACGUGUGAUGGCAGAAGCCUGGUCGGCCAGGGAUAAAAGUGAGGAUUACAGACAUCUUCCCCAAGUGACCCACAGCACUGCUAUCACUGCCUUUAUUUACUCUUAAGUGAUCUGUAAAAACAUGGACUUGGAUGGAACACAAACCUCACCUGGGUAGAGACAUUUAACCUCCCCAAAUCGCUAUUGCUCAAUUUCAUGGAUUAAAUCUAGUCUUCCAACACC